AAAAAAAAAAAAAAAAAAGAAAUAAUCCUUCCUUCCAAGUAUCAAUAAUAUCUACUUUAACCUAAUAAUUUUCUGAAAAUAUAUAUGGAUGUUAUCCUCUGUUAUUUAUAUGAAACCAUAUCCCUUAUUUUCUCAUUUUGUAUUAUAAAUGGUUACUUCUAAUGUAAGUAACUCUUUAUUCACCCAUUUUCUCUUUAUUACCUAAUAUGUGUACAAUGGCUUGACAAAUGUGAAGGAACUGCAGCAAUAACAACACUGCACUUCUCCCAUAGGUCAUGGAGGAGGCAAACAGAGGUCAAAGAUGGCAAGUCACCCAGCUAGUAAGUUUCAGAGCUGCCUCCAGAAUUCAUGCCUGCUAAUUCAUACUAAAUUGAUUUGUUUCAACUACUCUGUCUUUCCUGCUCAUAAAUAGUCUCAUGGAUUGGGAUAAUUAUAAUAAAAGAGUUACAUAAUUUUCAAACAUCUUCUCUUUCAAAUAGGAGAUAAAAUUCAGGACUUCUUUCUGGACUUACAGAAAGUUAUGUGGUUAGGGUUGAAAUGAUAAAUGGCAAACAAAUGAGAAAUUCAGCUGUGCCAAGUAACUAACUGAAUGCACACAAUUUUUAAAUAUUAUAUAUCAUUAUCAUUAAGGUCCCUAUUAUAAAACAAUGUUAUUAUACAAAGCCAAAAACCGUAAUUCAAACUCAAGAGAAUUCUGUGAAUUAAAGACAUGGAAAAGAAAAAGGAUAGCUGUAUUAUCUAACAUUAGCCCCUUGAACACAAUCAUCAGUCAAUAUCCUGGUUAGACAAUGUUGCCCUAAUCAUUAUUAAAUCUAUUUUUACUCAUAAUUUAGAUUCUGUCUAUAAAGGGACAUUUUUUAAAUGAUGUACACAACUUGUAAGUGAGACUGAUCCUUAAAACAUAUGAACCAUAACAUGCUCCUCAUCUGCUAAGAUUCCUUUAAUGAUCUCCAUCUCCCUCAGAAUAAUAGUCAAGGUCCUAUUAUGGUCUACCAGGCUGUAAAUGAUGAACACCACUCACCCUCCAUAGCGUCAUCUCUCACUUGUCUGCUCCUGUCUUCCUGCCACUGCCCUUGCCAUUCCUUCAACACACCAAGCACACUCUUCAUACUGACUCUUCCUGUUGAAUGUACCUCUCUUCCCCCACAUUUUGAAAUUGUUCUCUUACUCCAUUCAGUCCUCUAUUCCAUUCUCUCCUUAUCAAAGAGCCUUUCCCUAGACAGUGUAUCUGAGGAGGUAUUUCAGUGUUCUCUAGUAUCUCUGCUUUAUUUUUCUUCUUAGUACUUAUCCCCACUGACAUACACAUCAAAAUCUUCACUUUAUGUUUUCUUCCAUAGGAAUGAAAGCUCUGGGAGAGUAGGAAUUUUCCUUGUAUGAAUAAAUGAAUUAAUGAAUGGAUAAUCAUCUUUUUAUUUCAUCUAGCUAAACAGAAAACUUCUCCAGGGAAAUGACUCUAUCAAAAACAUUUUUAAGUUCUUGAUUUCUUUGAAUAUUAGUAUAAUCCAAAGUGAAGUGUUAGUACCAAUAGCAUUCUUUAUCAAAUGAUAAGUUGGCAAAAUGGCAAAUAUGAUGGUAUUUUUAUGUGUGUGCACAAUGUAGUAUACAGAAUGAUUUGUGUUCCAUAACCUGUGAGGUAGCAUAAUGUAGUAGACCUGCAUCAUGCCAAGAAACAUAGAUUUAGUUCUGUUACUAAUGUUCCAUGUGACAGAGGAGAGUUAUUUAGACUUGUGAAAUAAGUUGAUUGGACCAAGUUUCUUUCUGUCUCAUAAGACUACAGGGAUCUAUGAGAUGUUUGUCCCUUCCUUCUUUAUUUUGCUUCCAAACAUGUGAAAGCCAAACAACAAGUGUAUUCAAUUUAAGGCCAAUAUUUAUAUAAUUGUUGGAUGACAAGAACAUCCACAACGUUUAGCUUCAACUUAUUUGGUUUUAAUGUUUAUUUCCAUAAUAUUUGCAAACUAAAAAUUUGGGAAUGUUUAUUAUCAGAAUACUCUUUAUCAAAGUAUCAUUGAAGAGUGGUUCUUAACUCUGCAAGAAUCAGUGCAGACACACUUACUUUGGCGUAUCAUUUUAAAUACAGCUUUUUGCAGGACUCUUACCAUUUAGCUAAAAGCAGAGAGUUAAGCAUAUGCAUUGCAUGAAGAUAUAGUCGAAAUUUAUCUUCCCUUUAAGCGGGUAAGGAGUGUUCUCUCAAGGUACAUGCCAAUAAAAAUGUGUCCAAUCCCUAAUGUCCUAAUGUUCAUGCUAAAACAUAACAAAAUCUCUGAGGCAUCCAGAUAGAAUAACUUUAAGCUUAGUUCCUUUAGGAGUAAGUCAUUUUAAUUGAAGAGAUCUGAUCACACUGAAGGACAAAGACAUUUAUCUCUCUGUAUAAUGAAAACUGAAAAAGCCACUGGUAGUUGUUCUACAGAAGACCUGGAUGUGUAGGAGCUAAGACACACUCCAGGGGAGCUGUGGAAGCAGUAACACGGGAGGGGUUACAAGGAAGGAAGGAUUACAAGGAAGGAGGGGACCACCAAGUCUUCACUCAUAACUAAGCAAUAAUAGUGAGAGUUGUGAGCAUUGUUGAAACAACCAAGACACUUCCCUGGACCCAGGAAUGAACACACAGCCAUUAGCCACAAUCAUGGCAAUGGGGACUUCAAAGGCCAGUGUGGCUCUAGCUUACUGAGAAACGUGACUAAAACUAACCUUGCACAAUGACUGCUGAAUGCUCCCAGGAGACUCUUUGACUAUUGAGAUCUUUUAUUUACAUAGAAAUUGAUUUAAUUAACUCUCAUUUCAUACAUGGUAGUCAAUAUUCUCUGGUUACUAUUAGCGUUGGCAAACAGAUUGACUCUGAAGAGUGUCAAGAGCUUUUAGAGGUGGACACCAGCACAGAGUACAUGGCAGAGAAGAGAAGAAACUCGAUUUUCAUGACCUGGGUGCUCCUCCCUACAAUUACAUAUUUAUUAACAUUCUACAUGUUUUAAGAAUUUGAUUCUUAAAAGUCAUUAAGGGAAAGUCAUUAAGAAGUUUCACUUCAAAACAGUUUAUACAAGGAAAAAAAUAUAGAAAAAAUAUAAAUUCAGGCAUCUAUGUAACUUAUGUAAGAUUUUGUUUCUAUUCUUGAUAGUUUUUAAAUUAUUUUCAUCUUCAAACUAUAAAAGGAAGAUGCCCAAAUGCUCAACUUCUUACAUUAUUAGAGUAUUAUUCAUAAUUUGCAAACCAAGAACAACUCAAGCACAUGGAAGAAAUAAGCAAGUGGCAAGAGAUUUGAGAAUUGUAAAACUGAUGGCAAAAGAAUGACCAGCAAAUGGUAAUGUAAAUGUCCUGACCUGCUGAGUCUCCCAGUCCAAUCUCUCCCACUCCCGGUGUCCUGAUGUCCUUGAUAUUAUCUAUUUCUUGAAAUGCUAAAAAAAAAAAAAAAAAAAAGAAAAAGAAAAAGGAAGAAAAAUUGAAACAAAGAAAGAAAAUAUUAAGUGAGAAAUCAGAGUAAUUCCAAAUAAAUAAAAAAAUUGAAAAUGAUAAAGAUAGUUAAAUGAGAUUUCUAUUGCAAAAUGUUGGAAAAAAUAUUAAGUACUUUCAUUAUAAUAAUUUUUUUUUUUUCUAGACCAGAUUCAUAGCCAUAAAACAACAUCAGACUCAUACGACUGUGCUAGUUAGUGGCUAAUGAAUGAAAAAUCAAUGAAAAACUAAACAAUUUUUAUUAAUGACAUUUCAAGAUACAGCGACAACUGAAAUGUAAAAAUAUGAACUAAUUAUUUUGGAGCCAUAUUAAUUAAAUCACUUAAAAGUCAUCAUAUGAUUAAUUCAGCCAUGUGAGCAUGCAUGUGUGAUGCACAAACUCACUCACACAAGUGUGUGUGUAUAGCCUGAAGUGAUCCUAAGCCUAGUUUUACUGAGACAAUUACAACCAUUUUUUAUAGUCCAUGAUAGUUUAAAAUAUAUAUAUAUAUAAUGUAAUAUUACUUAGAGCUACAAUACUUUACGCAAAACAUUCUAACGGGCACUGAAAUGUAUGGAAUACAUAUGUGUAUAAAUUUAUAGAAUAAAACUUAUGGAAUACAUGUAUAUGUAUAAAUUUAUGAAAUAAAAUUUAUAGAAUACAUAAGCACUUAGCAAAGCACGGUGCUACAUUGUACUAGGACACUAAGUUAUAGAAGAAUAAAUACUUCAUAAACCCAUUGAAUAAUUUCCAGGCAAAAAUACCAACAAUAGAAAGAACAAAAUAAAAACAGAAACACUCUAUAAGUAGUCACUUUAUCAGAGACAGACUGCAGGGUCAUAAAAGCAGAAUUUAAUUAUUGAUUUCUGGGAAUGUUUUUGCAAAUUUAUCUAACCUCUUGGAGGCUUAUUUUCCCAAUCUACAAAAUGGCUUCAUAAGCUUGUCAUGAACCCCAAAUCUAAGUUUUCAAUACAUACAGCUAUUUUAUUAUGAUUUUAUUAUUUAUUUGUGAUUGUGGAAUAUUUUUUAUAUGGGGAAGUUCAUCAGCUAUUGUCUGCUUUUUAAGGUUUGGCCACCAAAAUGACUACAUUAUAUGACUUCAAGAUGUUUAUGCAUUUAUUAAUUAUAUGUGGGAUCUUGCAACAAGCUUAUUAAAAUUGUAUAAAUAAAAAGCUUAUCAAUUUUUUGUCUUAGGUUGGUCCUAUAUUAUCAACCAGAUUAUGCAGGUCAGUAUUUUAAUGACAAUACUUCAAACUGUACUUACAGGAAAACAGAAUUCCACUUCUGAAAUACUGGUCUAACAUACCAGAGCUACAGACUUAGAGGUAAUCUAAGACCAGGUGACUUGUGCAACUUUUAUUUAUUAAUUUAUAUUCUUUUUCAUUUUAAAAAGCCUAAAUAAUUUUGGAAUAUUUAGAUCAUUUUAGAGUACAUAAAAUGGCAAGAAGAAUUACACUCUAUAACCAAGUAGGAUUUAUCCCAGGAAUGCAAAGUUGAUUUACCAUAUAAAUAUCAAAUAACAUACCAUACCAUAUUAAUAAAGGGAAAAAUCAUACAAUAUCUCUAUAGAUGCUGAAAAGCAUCUGACAAAAUCCAACACCCUGCUUUAAAACCAUCAAAACAUUAAACAAACUAGCAAUAGAAGGAAACUUCCUCAACCUAGUAAAGACCAUCUAUGAAAAAUCUACAACUAUAAUACUUAAUGGCAAAACAUUAACUGUUUUCUCCUUAAACUAAGGAACAAGAAUGUUUGCUCAUACCACUUUUAUUCAACAUUUUAUUAGAGAUUUCAUACAGGUUCACUAAAUAAGAAACAGAAAGAAAAGGCAUCCAGGCUGGAAAGAAAGAAGUAUGAUUAUCGCUAUUUGUAGAUAACGUUAUCAUUUUUACUUAGAAAAUCUUAAGGAAGUAAUUAAAAAACUAUAAGAGCUAAAGAACAAGUUCAGUAAGGUUGCAGGAUAGUUGAUCAAUAUAUAAAAAUCAAUUGUAUUUCUACAAACUAGUAAUGAACAUUCUGAAAAUGAUAUCAAGGAAACAAUUCCAUUUAUAAUAGCAUGGAAAGAAUAAAAUACUUCGGAAUAAAUUUAACAUUAGAAGUCUAAGGCUUGUGAAUCACAAACUAUAAACAUCUUUGAAAAAAAUUAAAGAAUAUCUAAAAAAUGAAAAGACAACCCACAUUCAUGGAUGAGAAAACUUAAUAUUCUUAAAAUGAUAAUACUUGCCAAUUAAUCUACAGAUUGAACACAAUUCUUAUCAAAAUCCCAGUUGGCUUUUUUACAGAAACUGUCAAGCUGAUCCUAAAAUUCAUAUGGACAUACAAAAAGUCCAAAAUAGCUACAUCGAUCCUGAAAAAAAAAAAAGAAAGAAAAAGGGGAUGUAUCCUUCCCAACUUCAAAAUUUAUGACAAAGCUACAAUAAUUAAGACAUUAGUGGUACUGGUAUAAGGAUGCACAUAUAGAUCUAAUGGCACAGAAUUGAGAGUACAGAAAUAAACCGAUACAUUUGUAGCUAGUUGAUUUUUGAUAAGGUUGCCCAGACAAGUCAAUGGAAGGAAGAAUAGUUGUCAUAUAAGUAUUAAUAUAUUUUUAAAAAUCUGGUCUUUGUCCCUGGUUCCUGGCACAGAGUUUCAGAAAUUCUUGAAAUUCCCUGAGUGAUAGAUGUGCCUUUGUUAUGCUAAUGAGGUGGCACAGGGUUGUUGCCACAGAUAGCCUACAGGAUGGGGGAGGUUGUCAAAAGAAUAAAAAAUCCCGGCCGGGCGCGGUGGCUUACGCCUGUAAUCCCAGCACUUUGGGAGGCCGAGGCGGACGGAUCACGAGGUCAGGAGAUCAAGACCAUCCUGGCUAACACGGUGAAACCCCGUGUCUACUAAAAAUACAAAACAUUUAGCCGGGCGUGGUGGCGGGCGGCUGUAGUCCCAGCUACUCCGGAGGCUGGGGCAGGAGAAUGGCGUGAACCCGGGAGGCGGGGCUUGCAGUGAGCCGAGGUCACGCCACCGCACUACAGCCUGGGUGACAGAGCGCGACUCCGCCUCGGAAAAAAAAAAUAAAAAAUCCCAUGUAAUUAGAGUGAUGGCGUUUCCAGUCCCCUCCUACCUCUGGGGAAAGAAGAAGAUCUGAAGAUUGAGUUUAGUCACAUGGCCAAUUAUAUGCUUAUGUAAUAAAUACCUUGAAUAAAAACUAUGGACAUGAGCUCGGGUGCGGUGGCCCAUGCCUGUAAUCCCAGCACUUUGGGAGACCAAGAAGGAGGGCGGAUACCUUGAGGUUCAGGAGUUUAAGACCAGCCCUGGCCAACAUGGCAAAACCCCAUCUCUACCAAAAAUACAAAAAUUAGCUGGGCAGGGUGGUGCACGCCUAUAAUCCCAGCUACUCGGGAGGCUGAGGCCGGGGAAUCACUUUUAGCUGGGCAGCAGAGGUUGCAGUGAGCCGAGAUCACACCACUGCACUCCGGCCUGAGCAACAGAGCAAGACUCCAUCUUAAAAAUCAAAUAAAACUACGAACAUGAGGCUUGAAUUGCUUCCAGGAUAGUGAACAUACUGAUGUACCAGGAGGGUGUUGCAACCAACGCCAUGAAGACAGAAACUUGUGCUCCAGAUUAUUCCAGACAUAUCCUGUGUACCCCUUUAUCCAGCUACUCAUUUAAAUCCUUUAUAAUAAAAUGGCAAUUGUUAAGUAUAGCACUUUUUGUGAGAUAGCUAAGUUGUUCUAGUGAACUAUCAAACCUUAAAGGGGUUCUUAGGAACUCCCAAUUUUGUAGCCAAUUCUGCCAAGCAGAAAUAAGGGUAGCUUGGAGACCCCACUUGCAGUUGACCUUUGAAAUAAGGACAGUCUAAUUGAGGACCUUGUCCUUGAAUCUGUAGGAUCUGAUGUUAACUGCAAAUAGUUAGCGUCAGAUUGAAUUGAACUACAGGACACCCAGCUGACGUAAGAGAAUUAGUGUUAGAACGUAAUACAAUCUUCAAUAAAUUAUUCUGGGAUAACAAAAUAUUCACAUGCAAAAGAAUUAAACUGGACCCUUAUCUCAUAUAUAAAUAAGAAUUAACUCAAAAUGGAUGACAUACACCUACAUGUAGAAACUAAACUAUAAAAGUCUUAGAAGAAAAUGUAAAUAUUCAUGACCUUGGG
rnacentral:lncRNA from 1 species